UGGGACAUUUAGUAUUACACAAGAUCAAGUCCACAACCAUUUUAGCACAAUUCAGUGCAAGGACAACAAACGACAUCAGUUAUUUUUGGGAUGCAGACUUAAUUGUGUAUCUAUUUCUUGCUCUUUUCUGGACCAGCAUAUGCAUCUGUGAAAAAGACAACUAGUUUUCAGAGCAGGAAAACAAACCCCUUCGCAAUCAUAUGAAGUAUGACAUUUUCUCAAUGCUGCCGCCUUAAAGGAUGAAAUAUCUGCAAUUAUAUACAAGAAAUUGUAAGCAAUUGAUUACAUCAUAUACGAGUUUAGGGGUGCCAAAUAUGCGAGUCCGACCGAAUAUAAGCGUGUCAAAAUAGGUUGAGCUAACUAAUGAAAGGGUUAUCAGUCCGCCCCCAAAGAAAUACCUAGACUGAGAUUGGUUAAAUCUAGAUUAGCUAAAUAAUCAGUUCAAUAUUUUGAUAAGGUUUCUCAUAGGUCCAAAUCAGCUUAACGUUUAGACGAGCUGAAUUUGUACGGGUUAAAAUGGACUGAGUUAAUGAGUGAGUAGUCAAUGACUCGCUAAAACUUAAGCCGGUUCAUAAUUUUAUGGGCUAAUUAUGUCAACCCUAUAUAUGAUUAUUAUCAUUUUCUUUCCUCUUUGCUCUAUGAUAUUACUAUGAAAACCUGACAUUAAAUGAAAUGACUAUGAAGGAAAUGGAAUAAGAGAGAAACAAACCCAUGGUAAUCAGCAACAAAGCAAGAAAGAAAGCGAACUUCAUAAGAGCCUUGGCCAUAGUUUAUCUCUACUACUGCACUAUGUAAAGAGGAC
rnacentral:lncRNA from 1 species